UAGGGAAUCUUCCACAAUGGACGCAAGUCUGAUGGAGCAACGCCGCGUGAGUGAAGAAGGUUUUCGGACCGUAAAGCUCUGUUGUUGGUGAAGAAGGAUAGAGGUAGUAACUGGCCUUUAUUUGACGGUAAUCAACCAGAAAGUCACGGCUAACUACGUGCCAGCAGCCGCGGUAAUACGUAGGUGGCAAGCGUUGUCCGGAUUUAUUGGGCGUAAAGCGAGCGCAGGCGGAAGAAUAAGUCUGAUGUGAAAGCCCUCGGCUUAACCGAGGAAUUGCAUCGGAAACUGUUUUCUUGAGUGCAGAAGAGGAGAGUAGAACUCCAUGUGUAGCGGUGGAAUGCGUAGAUAUAUGGAAGAAUAUCAGUGGCGAAGGCGGCUCUCUGGUCUGCAACUGACGCUGAGGCUCGAAAGCAUGGGUAGCGAACAGGAUUAGAUACCCUGGUAGUCCAUGCCGUAAACGAUGAGUGCUAAGUGUUGGGAGGCUUCCGCCUCUCAGUGCUGCAGCUAACGCAUUAAGCACUCCGCCUGGGGGAGUACGACCGCAAGGUUGAAAC
rnacentral:rRNA from 1 species